AUCCAUCUGACGAGUCCCAAACGGAAGGAAACGCACUUCAUGGAU
rnacentral:hammerhead_ribozyme from 1 species